GGGAUACAGCAGUAAUUAAAAUUAAGCAAUAAACGAAAGUUUGACUAAGUUAUGCAACAUUAUAUAGGGUUGGUAAAUUUCGUGCCAGCCACCGCGGUCAUACGAUUAACCCUAAUUAAUAAAGCCCGGCGUAAAGAGUGUUAAAAUUACAAAAACAAUAAGAUUAAAUUUUACCUAAGUCGUAAAAAACAACAGAUAAAAAUAAAAUCAUAAACGAAAGUAAUCUUAAUAGAUCUGAAUACACUAAAGCUAAGACCCAAACUGGGAUUAGAUACCCCACUAUGCUUAGCCAUAAACAAAGAUAUUUAAUAACAAAAAUUUUCGCCAGAGUACUACUAGCAACAGCUUAAAACUCAAAGGACUUGGCGGUGCUUUAAACCCACCUAGAGGAGCCUGUUCUAUAAUCGAUAAACCCCGAUAUACCUUACCACUUCUUGCUAAUCCAGUCUAUAUACCGCCAUCUCCAGCAAACCCCAACAGGGAUUAAAAGUAAGCACAACUAUACUCGUAAAAACGUUAGGUCAAGGUGUAACUAAUGAAGUGGAAAGCAAUGGGCUACAUUUUCUUCUUCCAAGAAAACAACAACAGUAAUCUUUAUGAAAUUAAAGAUUUAAGGAGGAUUUAGUAGUAAAUUAAGAAUAGAGAGCUUAAUUGAAUUAGGCAAUAAAGCACGC
rnacentral:rRNA from 1 species